UACAGAGGGUGCAAGCGUUGUUCGGAAUUAUUGGGCGUAAAGCGCGUGUAGGCGGCUAUGCAAGUCUGGUGUGAAAGCCCUCGGCUCAACCGAGGAAGUGCGCCCGAAACUGCAUGGCUUGAGUGCCGGAGAGGAUGGCGGAAUUCCCCAAGUAGAGGUGAAAUUCGUAGAUAUCGGGAGGAACACCAGUGGCGUAAGCGAUCACCUGGGCUAGACCUGACGCUGAGGGACGAAGGCGUGGGGAGCAAACGGG
rnacentral:rRNA from 1 species